rnacentral:rRNA from 1 species
AUUGAACGCUGGCGGCAGGCCUAACACAUGCAAGUCGAACGAGUGGCGUACGGGUUAGUAAUGUCUGGGAAACUGCCUGAUGGAUGGGGAUAACUAAUGGAAACGGUAGCUAAUACCGCAUACCAUCAGAUGUGCCCAGAUGGCAUUAGCUUGUUGGUGGGGUAAAGGCGCACCAAGGCGACGAUCCCUAGCUGGUCUGAGAGGAUGACCAGCCACACUGGAACUGAGACACGGUCCAGACUCCUACGGGAGGCAGCAGUGGGGAAUAUUGCACAAUGGGCGCAAGCCUGAUGCAGCCAUGCCGCGUGUAUGAAGAAGGCCUUCGGGUUGUAAAGUACUUUCAGUGGGGAGGCGUUACCCGCAGAAGAAGCACCGGCUAACUCCGUGCCAGCAGCCGCGGUAAUUC